CGACAUACUUUGCCUAAAAAAAACUUCCUCCUUUCUCUAUUGCUUCUCUGCUGCCCUACUUUCUCCAACUCCCCUACGCGUCGCACUUGAGUUAUCAGAUGACCGACAUCAACCAUCAUCGGAACCAAAACCACUGGCACGCCAUGUUACCACCGGUCACAGGUACUUCAUAUCAUCCUUUUCUUAUUUGAAACCCUAACUUGAUAAAUUGCCCCAAUUCCAAUUAUUCUGCACAAUUUCGCAAUUUUCUUACUGAAUUUUUGUGUAGUUUUGUUGUUUAUGUCACAGUAAUAGUUUUUAAAAUUGUUCAUUUUUCAUCGAAAUACGCCGAAUACUUGUUUGGUUGAUUGUUGAUUUAUUUGAUAUAAUUAUGUGUAGUUCAAUAUCAUUAUAAUUCUAGUAUACUUAGAAGAUUGGGUGGAAGAUUCGAUGUUCUUGGUACUCUUUGCGGUAUAUUAGAGAAUUCAGUUUUAUUGGAAGGGGAUCAGAUUGAAAGUUGGAGAGGUCAUUCGUGUAUUACCAAUACAUUUCAUAUUUUAUCAUCUUUGAGUUGUUGGCAUCUAGGCCAUAUCAGCAAAAUGAAUGAAGAAGACAAGUAGUCGUCCGCGUGGUGGUAGCUAGCAGGCUGUACCCCUAUCUCUUCGUGUUGCUUAGUAUAGUAAUUGAGUUAUUAGUUUGCAUUUUACAUUUAUAUUGCAAUCAUGGUUGCUGGUUAGUUCUUUUAGAUGGCUAAAAGUAUAAAUGUAGAUUAAUUUUUCAAUUAAAAGACAUUCAACAACUCAAAGAUGAUAAAAUAUGAAAUUUAUUGGUAAUUAUGAUACAUAGUUGCAGGUAUAAAAAAAAUAUCUUUCAUAGUUUAGGUUAGCUUUUUAGAUGUUAUAUGGAUAUUUACUUUUCAAGAGUUUCUGUUCAAUAGUGUCAAGUGCAGGUACCUUUCAUUAUGAUGUAAUCUAGAUCGAGGAAAUUCAUGGUUAUGGAUUUUAUGCCUUUUGGUCUCAUAAACCUUCACAGUCCCUAAUUGGCAAAUACUGAAAAGGUUUUGGCUGUGUGUGCUAUUCGCAAGCUCAUUGAUGAUAAUUAGAGGGCAUAUUAUGAUCAGUUAAUAUUUCAAUGCCAAACUAUAUUUCCCAAUCCCUAUUUUAUUUCUAUUGAUUGCUUAUUUCUUAGUCCUUUAUUUACUAUUUUUAUUUUCCAGUUAGUACUUAAGUUAGCUAGUUCAUAAAUUCUCAAAACAGGGGUUUCUAACUUUCAUUAGAAAUAGUUUGAUAAAUCCAAUUUUAAGUGGGAUCAACCCUAGCUUUCCCUACUACACUAUUAGGAGGUUAGAGUUGGGUUAUUGUUGGUAGGAACGUGACAUUCGUACCAAAACUCAAGUCACCACUAAGGUACGUUGUAAGCUUGCUUUCUUACAUAGUCUUUUUUCUUUUCGGCUACAAACAACGGGAGAGUCAAUCACUCUAGAUUCAUUGUAUUGUGGAUAUUUCUAAAGCAGGUCUUACACCUUGUUCUCCUCUGACCCUUCAGUGUAUACAGGUGGGGACAAAUUUGAGAGUAAUAUUCAUGCUUGAGAAUUCUGAUGAGAAGAUAUUCCUUAAGAGACAUUUUAGAUCUUUAAGCUCGCUGCUUCAAUUAAUGGCCUGCGCAAAAGCUAGUUCCGUGAAGAUAUGCAAAUUCCACAAGCAAUAUAGGAAUCAGGGAUGACUUUCACUUGCCGAGUUCUUGUUCUGCACUAAAAUAAAGGGCUCUCAAGAAGUAUGGAGUUUCUGAUGGGAAGGUUAGAGUUUCAAACUUGCUGAUUUGCUAUUAAUAGUGCCUCAUAUGCAGAUAUGUGUCAUGGCCGAUUCUUUCCCCGAGAAUGGCGAAGAGGCUUUUGCAUUGGUCCCUUCACUCAAGGCCAAGAAAAACUGAUCAAUGAACCACUUGAAAAGAUCAUAUCUCAACUGGGUACAUUGAACCAGGGAUUGUGAAGCUACAUACAGUUGUGCUAAGAGAAUUGAUAUAAAUGUGAACUAAUAUUCGAAGAUUGAUAAAGGACAACCUUCUGGGAAGAGACAAAGAACAUGGUACAUUGAAGGAAGAAAUUAUGGAGACUCUUUAAUAUCUCAAAUUUAUGAGUGGGAAGCUUCUUCUAUAACUAUAACAAUAUAACGAUAGUUGCGACAACAAAAAUAUACCAAACUUGCUGACUGAGAAUACAUAAAUACAUGUGAUGAAAAAGCUCUAGACUCUUUACAAGUAUACCGGAAGCAUGAUGAUCGUUAUAUUGUGAAGCUGGUUGUGAUAAAGAUUGAAGAUGUAUACUAGAACAGGGUACAUUGAAGGAAGAAAUUGUGGAGACUCUUAAAAAUCUCAAAUUUAUGAGUGGGAAGCUUCUGCUAUAACUAUAACAAAACAUCGGCAGUUGCGACAACAAAAAUAUCUUGCUGGUUGGGAAUACAUAAACACCUGUGAUGAAAAAGCUCUAGACUCGUUACAAGCAUCUCAGAAGCAUGACGAUCGUUAUAUUGUGAAGUUGGUCGUGAUAAAGAUUGAAGGUUGUCUUUUUCCUUUGUCUUUUUUCCCCUAUUAAGUUCUUAAUGUUGUGUAUAGUUAGGAGUUGCUAUUUAUAAUUUUGAUCAAGAAACAAGUUUGAGGACCGCAUUUGUAUAUCUCUAUGUUUGCUGCAACAUUAUUACAUUACCCAUCCUGAUAUUUUUUUGUAAA